rnacentral:rRNA from 1 species
CACGUAGGGCGCGAGCGUUGUCCGGAAUUAUUGGGCGUAAAGAGCUCGUAGGCGGCCUGUUGCGUCCGCUGUGAAAGCCCGGGGCUUAACCCCGGGUCGGCAGUGGAUACGGGCAGACUAGAGUGCGGUAGGGGAGAUUGGAAUUCCUGGUGUAGCGGUGGAAUGCGCAGAUAUCAGGAGGAACACCGAUGGCGAAGGCAGAUCUCUGGGCCGUAACUGACGCUGAGGAGCGAAAGCAUGGGGAGCGAACAGG